GUAAUUAUGUUUGUGCCCUGUUUUCUUCUUUUUUGGAUUUAUCUAUGUCGUGGUUUUUGAACUUGCUCGGGGCUUCCCUGUAUUUUGUAGUGUUUUUUAACCGAAACCAACAUACUAAAAACACAACUUUUUUGCAUCAACUCAUACUAUAAAACUUCAGGGAAAAGUACAAAACAAGGAAGUAGACAACAUGAUGUACAAAUGCAGGCCAAAUAAACUAACGGUCUGAUUCCCUUCUUAUGCCUCACUGAAUUUCACAUGUACAAAUUGACUUCACUUCACUAUUUGACCUUCAUCAUACACCUCGUAUAUCCAGCUCAAAAUCAAAAUGAAAACCAUGCCUCUCCAAACACAACAUGUGCAUAGAGAGAGCUAUAGUUGUUCCUUUACAACUAUUUCUGAACGUCUACGGCCAAUGCAUGUUUUCUGUAGUAGAUGCACAACAACUAUAGAAGAGAGAUUUUAUUUGCUGGAUGGACAGAGAAGUCCAACGUCGAGGAAGAGGAGGAUGCCCCGGCAGAGGAUGACAUUGGCUGGAAGCGGCCUCACAAGAAGCAACACUGCAUCCUAGCAUCACCGAUUCUCACGAAGGACGACCAUCUUCCUGAACUCAGACCAUCUUCCGAAUGGCGGCACCCCGUCCCUUGCACCUCAUGUGUGACCUUCUCCCCUGCCAUGUGGUGAACUUCUUCCCCCCGCUGUUCAUGUGGGUAGCAAGCAGCAGAGCGGUAUGGAGGAUCCUGGAGACACAAAAUUUUGAGCAUAAAUGAGAGAAAAAGCACCAAAUAGUAGGAGGCUGCUGCUACAAAACCAAAUACGGAAGGCUCCAGCCACAACAUGUUUGAAAUACCAUAAACAUACAUGAUUUUCAAAAUAAUGUAUACAUGUUGUUCUAUGAUUUAGUUCAUGUGUGCACAAACAUUAUUUCAAAAUAAGAGAAUGUGCCAUUGUACUAAUCUAGAAUCAAAAUUAUGUGUGAAAAUAAUAACAGAAACAUAACAAGAAGGUGCUCGAACUAUCCGCAACAACACAAAGUCUCCAAGAUAUUUGCAAAACUGAAACAUAACAAGAAGGUGCUCGAUUACCCGCUGUAGGGCUCUUGCUUGAUCCAAGCAAGGGUGCAAGAACACAUGGUACAAGCGAAUGGUAUUGGUUUGGAAGCAGAGAGCUCCCAAUCACCUUGCCUUGGUAAAUGUCCACGGCUAUGAUGUGCUUCAGCUCACCGAUGGUGAUGUACAUGCUGUCGGCGUUUGAGUGUGUGUGAUGACAGCUGGACACACACAUCGAGCCUAUCCAUCCGCUGCUUUUUUUCCAGAAAUGAUGAUACACCUAAUAAUCAACUGAUUAUGUAGUGGCGCCAUAUCAACCAGAAAGUAAGAUGUUUUCAGGAUGUGUGCACACGCACGACAACUCGCCAUGGCAGUGGAAGAUGAGUUGCACUUGCAUUAAUCAAGUUGGCCUGCUGAAAAUCAACACGGUGUACUGCAGAAUUGUGGCAUAUAAACAAAAGCAGUUGGAGGCAUACUUUUUAAGACAAAAAUGCUUCAGUGUAGCAUGAUACAAGAGAUUUUCUGAACUGAAUCAAUAUGGGUCUAAUAAGAAAUACUCCAAGGCAGUGGCAUAUUUGAGCAUAAGAAUGAUCAUGUAGACAUUUAAAUAUAAAAAGCAAAUCUGUUUCCUACUGGAAAAGACAUCGAAUCAAAAACAAAUUGACUAAUUACUGCCAAAAGCACAAUAAGUAAUUAAAAGUUGAGAGGAUAAUUGCACGGAGCAGUUUACGGUAGCAAGCAAUUUCUCCCAAAAUGGCGAUUUUCUGUUUUUGGACCAUAUUUCAGUCGAUAUAGGCAUCGGAGAAGGAUGCUCACCAUCGACAGGAGGAGCCUCGAGAAGGAAACUGGUAUGUAGUAGGAAGUUCAG
rnacentral:lncRNA from 1 species